UACGUAGGGUCCGAGCGUUGUCCGGAGUUAUUGGGCGUAAAGAGCUCGUAGGCGGUUUGUCGCGUCUGCUGUGAAAUCCCAGGGCUUAACCCUGGGCCUGCAGUGGGUACGGGCAAACUAGAGUGCGGUAGGGGAGAUCGGAAUUCCUGGUGUAGCGGUGAAAUGCGCAGAUAUCAGGAGGAACACCGGUGGCGAAGGCGGAUCUCUGGGCCGUAACUGACGCUGAGGAGCGAAAGCAUGGGUAGCGAACAGG
rnacentral:rRNA from 1 species